UAUAGUACCAGCAAAAUCCUUUGAUCUACUUCACGAUGCACUUGCCUACACUUCUUAACUUCAUACAAUUUUAUGAAAAUCUUUUGCAAUUUUGAUGCUGAAAAUGCAGCAACUCUUUGGUAGCCAACAAAAAAAUUAGGUUUCUCUAUUAGUAUAAAUAAUUAUGUAAUAAUUUUCACGGGCAUAUUCACUCUUUUUAUUGGUAUACUGUGGUACAGUUCUUAAUGAAAUAAGAAAGAAUUAUGUCUAAAUUACAGAAUCUUUGAAGACUUUGAUGAUUCACAGGUGCAAAGAGCACUUUCAUAAAAAUACUGGUCCAGAAGACACAUUCUUCGAGAUCAUUCCUCAGAUCACCCUAAUAUUGCUUACUAUCAUUGUGGUGCUGCUACGCAGGCACUCAUUUUUGAAACUUUUAUAGAAGAGCAAAUGCAUUCACUACGAUUUGCCACAUGGUUAUUUCAAAAUUUCAAUUAAGAACAAACAUUCAUCAUUUUCCCUAGCAAGGUCCUAUGCCCAGACCAUUUAAAAGGUCAGGAGAACAAUUUAAUAAGUUAAAUCCUGUCAAAAAUAACCUAUCAAGCAGAUGACUGAAGGAAUCCUUUCUUUGAAGCUUGAAAAAAGAUUGCAUUUCACUAUGAAAAAUCGCCUGUCUUUAGGAUCUGUUUCAUGUUUCUUCAAACGAUUCAUGUCGACCUUUCCCCAGAGCAAGAUUUGAGAUGAAGUUAUGUAAUUUAUUGUCAUGCUUUAAACAUAUUAUAUUUAUUUGUCCCUUUAAUAGCCUUUUUUCUCUUAGGUCCUUGGAAGCAGUGAGCUCACCAUGAAUUGAUUCUUCCUGUAGUUAAUGGAAAAGGUGGCAGGAUUUGCUGAAAGUGAGGAAGGUGACGAGUACAAGAGAGGAGAUGGAAUGAAAAAAAACGUUAUUAUUGCAGAAUGAAAGUUUUAUUAGUGUAAGAGUUGAAAUCUAAAGGAUUUUCAUUCUGGACCUAAAAAUAGAAGAUUAGCCAUAGUGAGAAGCAUGGAGAAAGGCACAGGAGAAAAGGGAGGCGGCAGAGGGAGACAGCAGGACAGCCCGCGCGAGAAUGAAGGAUGAAGGUGGCGGUGAAACAGACGAACUUUUUAACCAGCUUCCCAAGCAUGGCGCACUCCUAGGUUAGAAACGCUCUGCAAGACUUAGCACGAAAACACAGCGCUUUGGGAAAAUGAAACUGAAAUGUCAAGACCAUUUUUGCAGCUAUAUCUUUCUACAUAUUCCUGAUUAUUUCCUUGAAUAAACUGCUAAAAGGGGAAUUACUCAUUCAAGUGGUAUGUGAAAUAGUAAGAAUUCUGGUAAGUGUUGCUAAAUUUCCCUUCAUAUGAUAUGCCAACUGACGCUCACACCAGUAUUUUAUUAGUGCCUAUUUCUUCCUAUUAUCAUCUAUUAAAUAUUUAUUGAAGAAUGCUUUAGAAACAUAAACAAAAAAAUUAAAGUCUUCGUAAUCUCACUCUG